rnacentral:lncRNA from 1 species
UGACGAAUGAGUCUGGAACAGAUGUGUGAACUGCAUGGUCUGCCAUCUCUGGUCAUUUCCCAAGAGGGUUGGAUACUGAGGAUCUCUGGGGCUCCUUCCCCUCUGAUACCCUGUGAGCCAGACCCUGACAACCAGGACCUUGGAGAACGGAGGGAACAAUCCUGCUUCCCAGGCUCCAGGAAUUUGCUCCUUUCCUCUACCCCAUCCUGCUCCCUUGGGGCCUUGAUCACUUUUCCUACCCUGACCUGCAGAUAGCCUUGUGGCUAAUGACUUUGUGUGCUAAUCCUCCCCCAGGUGUGUCCCAGAGGGCACCUGGAGAGCGGUAGUGGGGUCUCAGUGGUAGGGGGAGCACUUUCCUACAUCACAAUGCCCAGGUGCUUUUGAGCACUUAAUCUGCCAGCUUGUCAGGCAGGUCUGUGGUCUCAGGUGCUGACUGACUGGCCAAAGAGUUAUGGGGAGGGGCAGCUAAACCCCUGUGGCCACAGUCAACCCCUUCAGAGCACAGGGGCUCUUCUUGGGACCUCUGAAGCCUGGACAAGAGGAGAGAAGCAGAGAAACCUGGGGGCACCAUUAUGAUGCGCCACGCAGUGGAGUUGCGUGGGUGGGAGAAGCACACGGCUCUGGGUCUUCAGAACUGGCCCCCAAGAUGAUGAAACAGGCGUGGAGAGGAUGAGUAACUUUCCCAAGGGCUGGUGGCUCUUCCUAACCCUCUAUCAUCAAAUGUCCUGCGUGAUUUGGGGCAUGUGGCAGAGAUUGCUGACAGAUCACCAAACCCAUUGCAUCUCCUUUCUGGGCACACAGCGAGGCUUCAUUUUCUAGCAUCACUUGCAGUUUAGUUGUGUCCUUGGGAAUGAAUUCUGGCCAAUGGCACGUGAGGUGGUAUGCGCCACUUCCAGGCCUCACCAUAAAGAUGUCCCAGAAGCCUCCGUGUCAGCAAAUUUUGAUUCACGUUGCAGAGAUUAGAUUUGAAGCUCAGAAAGACCUUGCUUGAUUGGACAAAGAGGCGCAGUGCACUGCCGGCAGAGGCCUUCCUCUGUGCUGUCUCUAGCAACUUUCUGUUGCCCCGCCCUGGGCUGAGAACAGGCGGAAGUCUCCAUGGACUGUGUCUGUGGGUCUGGGGUCCUUCUGCUUCUACUGCUCUCUGCUCCCUCCUGGGAGGUGUCUUCAGCGAGGCACGUGCUCCAGCUGAAGCCAUCUCAGUCUAAACCGAGUUAGAAGGAGUGUCAUACUAGCUGAAGAGGCUGAGUCAAGUGUUCAUCAAGCCGUAAAUGAACAGCUGCCUCCCUCUUUGAGCCCGAUGCCUGGAUUAUUCAUUCCUUUUGGCUUUCAGAUCCUUCUUUUGGAUCCAGACAGAAACUGCUCCUUCCACGGCC